rnacentral:lncRNA from 1 species
UUUCUGAAAUUUGGUUUCAGGAUUUAUAUAAGUCAGCUAUACCGUGUGAUGCGUUUUCAGAUUCAUCACUCGACAACUUCCUGUUUACCGAACACUUGUAUGAUUUUACACAUGAUAGCCAAGUUGAAAUUUUCGUCACAUUUUUCUCAGGAACUACAAUACAAGGAUUUCUGAAAUUUGGUUUCAGGAUUUAUAUAAGUCAGCUAUACCGUGUGAUGCGUUUUCAGAUUCAUCACUCGACAACUUCCUGUUUACCGAACACUUGCAUAUUUUUACACUAUUAAUAUUAUCCACUUGCGGCGGG